UGUUUGUAUUUACUUACACAGCAUGUCUUGUAGGAUUAACUGGAGUCAUCAGCAACAGCACAGAGCAGUCACAUCUCAAGUCUAAUAAUAGAAGACAGGAAACCAAAGCACAAAGGAAACAGCAAGUAAAACAGAUCCUUUUCUAGACUUGUAAGAGUUUGAUGUAAUGUGUGGAGUGCUGGUCCGAGCCUCAAAGACAGGUGAAAAGUUCGGCCAUCUGGGAAGUGCUCAGAGUAGAGCCACUGCUCCUCCACAUCGAAAGGACCCAGUUGAGGUGGUUCGUGCAUCUGACAAGUAUGCCUCCUGGGUGAGGUGUUCUGGGCAUGUUCCACCG